rnacentral:tRNA from 1 species
GCCCAGGUGGCGAAAUUGGUACACGCGUGCGUUCGAGGUGCGCAUGCCGCAAGGCUUGCGGGUUCAAAUCCCGCCCUGGGCACAA